AGAAACGGAACGCAUUGAGAAGAGAGAGAGCAGAGAAUUGCUGUAUGUGUCUGUACUCUGUACACAAAACAAAGGAGCCAAGUUGGGGUUUUCUCGUCUCAACAACGCACUGUUUUACCUCUGCUUGCCUCGUUGCUUAUGAUCUCUGCUCUUGAGGCAAUAUGAAGAAGCAACACGGUUAUGUGCCACCUGCUUACAUCCCUUUGGGGCAAUCAGAUUCAGAGGCAGUGGAUGUCUCGCUGCAUCAGCAGGGUGAACAACUUCGUAGUGGCAAUGGAUCAACCCAAAUGCAGACCCAGUGGUCUUCUGGAAUAUGUGCUUGUUGCGAUGAUAUGCAGAGCUGUAUGCUACUCCCUUACCCUGUGAUCCUCAUUUAGUACAAAGGUUGUAUAGGUUGUCUUUGUCCUUGCUUUCUCUUUGGGAAGAAUGCAGAAAUUCUAGGUUCUGGAACUUUCCUGGGAUCAUGUGUUACCCAUUUUAUAUUAUGGAGCAUGGUUAAUACAGCCUGCUGCUUUUUAACUGAUGGCUUGUUUUUGGGAUUACCGGGAUGCCUUGUUUCCUGUUAUGCUUGUGGCUACCGCAGGACCUUAAGGUCAAAGUAUAAUUUGCCGGUAAUGUUACUACAAUUAUGCUUUACAUGAACUCUUACAAUAUUAUUUUUUCUUCUAUUUUCCAUUCUCGAUGUAAUGUUGCAAAAUUUUUAUUAUUCUUCAUGGCAUAAGGCCUCAAAUAUAAUUUUUGUAUUUAGCAAUUGCAGUUUUGCUUUGAAGAGGAGACUGGUUGAUGAAAUUUAAGCAAAAUAUUAAAUGGUUCUUAACUGCAGGUUAAAAGAACUUUAGGCUCUAAGAUUUUCUAAUGGAUGGAUAAAAGAGCUUUUGAUAUAUGCUAAUCAGGACGGGAAAGAGAAAUAAAUCCCCAGUUCUCUUCACUUCCUCAAAACACCAACGCAUAAUUAGAGACCAGUUUGCAUCUAGAAUUUAAAUGAGAUAAAAAUCAAAACAAAAGAAGAGUUCUUUAUUUCACUAAGAAAGGGUUUCGGUCUUGUCGUAAAGCUAUGAGGCAGAUUGAAGGAUGUUAUUCCUUCAAGUCUAUUUGUUCCUGCUUGUUAGACCAAGGCAUGGGCUAAUUAGGAGAAAAAUUGAAAAUACUUUUUCGACUUGCUGUUUAUUCAUAUUUCAGAGUACUUCCAGGUCGUGAAAGGGCAGUUUAUUGAUUGAGGUAGGGUAGCUUUUUCUUAAAUAUGCUUCUGGUAAGUGAAACACUGCCAAACAGGCCUUCACUUUAUGUAUUUUCCUAGUCGCAUAACUGUUCGUUGUGUCAAAAUAAUCUAUACUUCUUAAUUUGCCUGUAGUAGAUAAAGUUUGAUAUUUUAUUUGAAUUUUCCAAUCUAGCAUUUUGGAUGCCUUAUUGAAAGAGAAUUACUGUGACUAUGCUAUGCUACAAUUAUACAUUCUUCUGUCUUAUGUAGGAAGCACCCUGUGGGGAUUUUGUUACCCAUUUUUUCUGUCAUCUUUGUGCCAUUUGUCAAGAGUAUCGUGAGAUACGUGAAAGAUCAGGUGAUUGUGAGGCCACGGAUAUGAAGUUGGCUGUAGUCACAGCUCCGCCAAUCCAGACGAUGCAGUCUGAUUCCAAGCAGUAAUGCUAGUGCUGCUCUUCCCCUCCACCUCGUGUGAUAUGAGGGGUUUCAAAAUUACACCCUACAUGUUAAUGUAAUAUUUGAUGCUUAUGAUAAUAUUUUCUCAGUUUUACUUUUUUAAUUUUCGUCAACAAAACUAGAAGAAUAUCAGAUACCCAGUUGUACAUGAAAAUUUAGUACAUUUAAUGCCUAAUUAUUACUUU